rnacentral:tRNA from 1 species
GUUUUAAUAGUUUAAAAAAAACACUGGUCUUGUAAAUCAGAAAUAAGAAAUAAUCUUUUAAAACU